UGGGCAACCUGCCCCGAAGAUCGGGACAACCCGGGGAAACCCGGGCUAAUACCGAAUGUGGUCACCGUCCACAAGGACGAUGAGCAAAGGGAGCUUCGGCCCCCGCUUCGGGAUGGGCCCGCGGCCCAUUAGCUUGUUGGUGAGGUAACGGCUCACCAAGGCGACUACGGGUAGCCGGCCUGAGAGGGUGACCGGCCACACUGGGACUGAGACACGGCCCAGACUCCUACGGGAGGCAG
rnacentral:rRNA from 1 species